UUCAAUUGUUUCAAAACUUAAAGAGACAAAAGAAAUAUGGCGCACAUGGUUGCACAUGGUGUGAUGGUGGCAGCGUAGGUGAUUGAAUUUCCAGUUUUUUCUAGGUGUUUAGGUUUGUCAAUAACUUCUGCUGAUGAGAUGCAGUAACAGGAGGAGAAGCUAGAAAUUAAAAAGAGGAAGAAACUAUGCAUCAUCAGAGGGUGUAUUAACGAAAAUAGCAG